rnacentral:lncRNA from 1 species
GUCAGGCCAGGCCUUGGAGCCAAAUUCUAUGCAGAAUGACCAAGUGCCGAGAGCAGAAAACACGGGCUAUGUUCCUGACCCUUUGCCUGUUAGCCGUGUGGCUCUGGUUCUGGAGUGAAGGGAGCAGCAGGAUGCUCUGGGCCUUAAGUGACAGAAUUCCUAACUCUCUGAGACCAGAGCAAGGCUUUGGAAAGGCUGGAGGGAAGCCAUUAAGUCGGUGAGGUUUUCCUGGCUUGCCCCAUGGAGGCAAGAUGGCUGCAGGGACUCCAGGCAUCACGUCCAUUGAGGACAACAUCCAAUGCACAAAGGAGGGCAGGUGGCAAAGGGGCUUCUCCUCUCACAGCUCUUUAUCACAAACUGCUGCCUCCUCCAGCAUCCCUCAAAGACCGCUUUGUUUCCCAUCAGCAGGAAUGCGUGGCAGGAAGGAAUCUCCCAGGGAUUCACAGUUCACCCCUAAAUCAAUCCGUGGGGCCCGAGGGGCAAAGUAUCUGAGUGACCCAGCCCUCAGUCUUGUGUCCGUUCCUGAGAAGGAGCUCAGCCUUGCCCCUCAGGAGCUGCAUGUACCAAAUACCACAGAUGGAGGCGUGACACAGACUGUCCACUGCAGAGACCAUGGACGGAGGCAGCCUCCGAGCCAGCCCAGCAGCCAUGGACGGAGGAGCCUUGGAGCCAGCCCAGCAGCUCUCCUCACUGGAGGGGUGGACGGGACAGGACCGGCUGCUCAUUCCACGCUGGAGGGAGGCCAGGAGUCUCAGCUGGAUGCAGUCACCUGACCUGGAGAGUUCAAAGUGCCUAACACAGGAAGGUCCUGGAGGGGAUGGCCUGGGAUGGGCUAGGACCCGGUUCCCACCUCAGGAGGCCUCUGGCCAUGGAAGUGCUAAGGUGCCUAGUAUCCGUCUGUCCGGGUGACUCUGGCUUGGGGGUUGGGUGGCCUUGCCUGCGUCCAGCGACAUGGGGAGGUGUGUGUGGAAAACCAGAUGCCACCUCACUCACAUGGCGCGGGGCGGUGGCUGGGGGUUGGAGGUGAUGGCUACUGGUUCCUCCCCCACUGGGGACCAUUUCCAGGGAUGCUGCUACCCACAAGCCUGGAUCCUGGCGUGCUCCGCGGCUCUCCUUCAAGCCCUGGCCUCAUCAGACCUCCAAGGCUCCCUAGACAGGGUUAAUUAUUCACGUGGCCUGGGACCCAGGGUUCGUUUGUUUGUUUUUCCCGACACAGUAGGGUCCACGAGGAAGUCAGGAUCCACCGGCAAUAUUUGCAGUGUUAUGUUGAAUGUGGCAACUGGCUGCGUGAGGAUAGAGAAGUAAACAGCAUGUCCGGUGGCAGUCGGUUACCACACAGAAUUUAGGAGGCCCAGUGAAAUGCAAAUGCUAGGGACCCUAGUGCAGCAUGACUGGUGUCCUUUCAAAAAGGAGAAAUUUGGAUACAGACAUAGACACACACUGAGGGAAGGUGAAGUAAAGGGGCAAGGAGAAGACGGCCUGCAACGGGAGUGACGCCCUUACAAGCCGAGGGACGCCUGGCAGUGCCAGCUGACACCAGGAGCAGGGAGAGGCCAGGAAGCCUGGCAGUGCCAGCUGACACCAGGAGCAGGGAGAGGCCUGGAACGGUUCUCCCUGGAGACAUCCGGGACACACCUUGAUUUCAGGAUUCCAUGAUAGCUUCCAGAACUGCCAAAGAACGCAUUUCUGUGUUUUCAGCCACCCAGUCUGUGGUAUCUUGUGACUGCCGCCCUAGGAAAGUAAAACAAGGAGUUAAUUCAUGAAGGGUGGGGGAAAUACGUACCCUUUGAAAUACCACCUAGAGGAAGGGGUAAUAGUACACCCGAUCAUGUGCUCCAGUUUAUGAAAUAGUUGCACGUCACUCGGAAUUUUGAAAAACAAUAUAUUUUCAGGACUCAAAAGAUUUGCUUGCUAUGGACUUGUCUUGCAAAAUAAAGAAUCUCUUUGUAGACCACAUUCAUAGAUGUAUUUCAUGUAUGUUGACAUUGAUUUGGCUUGCUCAGAAAUAGGAAACGUGAGAACUUGAAUAUCAUGGCGUUUACAAAGCCAGUGAGGUCAGUUCCUCUCCUGGGCCUCAGGUGCAACCAUUGGCCGCCUGGCCUACCUCUGGAAAGCGUUUGGAGAGGGCGUGAGUUCUUGCACCCACCCUCUGGUUUUGCAAGCUCCCUCUGCCAUGGCUGGUGGAAGGCUGUGUUGGGGAGGUGGUGGAGUC